UCCUUGGUGGCUCAGGUGGUAAAGAAUCUGCUUGGAAUGCAGGAGACCCAGGUUUGAUCCCUGGGUCAGGAA
rnacentral:tRNA from 1 species